rnacentral:rRNA from 1 species
UGAGGAAUAUUGGUCAAUGGGCGCGGAGCCUGAACCAGCCAAGUCGCGUGAGGGAAGGACGGUCCUAUGGAUUGUAAACCUCUUUUGUCGGGGGAGCAAAGAAGUCACGUGUGACUAAAAGUGAGAGUACCCGAAGAAAAAGCAUCGGCUAACUCCGUGCC